rnacentral:rRNA from 1 species
GAUGAACGCUGGCGGCGUGCCUAAUACAUGCAAGUCGAGCGAACAGACGAGGAGCUUGCUCCUCUGACGUUAGCGGCGGACGGGUGAGUAACACGUGGAUAACCUACCUAUAAGACUGGGAUAACUUCGGGAAACCGGAGCUAAUACCGGAUAACAUGUUGAACCGCAUGGUUCAACAGUGAAAGACGGUCUUGCUGUCACUUAUAGAUGGAUCCGCGCCGCAUUAGCUAGUUGGUAAGGUAACGGCUUACCAAGGCAACGAUGCGUAGCCGACCUGAGAGGGUGAUCGGCCACACUGGAACUGAGACACGGUCCAGACUCCUACGGGAGGCAGCAGUAGGGAAUCUUCCGAAAUGGGCGAAAGCCUGACGGAGCAACGCCGCGUGAGUGAAGAAGGUCUUCGGAUCGUAAAACUCUGUUAUUAGGGAAGAACAAAUGUGUAAGUAACUAUGCACGUCUUGACGGUACCUAAUCAGAAAGCCACGGCUAACUACGUG